AACAAGGAUUCCCCUAGUAACGGCGAGUGAAGCGGGAAGAGCUCAAAUUUAAAAUCUGGCGGUGUAUUCCGUCCGAGUUGUAGUCUAGAGAAGCAUCAUCCGUGCUGGACCAUGUACAAGUCUCUUGGAACAGAGCGUCAUAGAGGGUGAGAAUCCCGUCCCUGACAUGGACUCCCAGUGCUUUGUGUUGUGCUCUCAACGAGUCGAGUUGUUUGGGAAUGCAGCUCAAAAUGGGUGGUAAAUUCCAUCUAAAGCUAAAUAUUGGCGAGAGACCGAUAGCGAACAAGUACCGUGAGGGAAAGAUGAAAAGCACUUUGGAGAGAGAGUUAAACAGUACGUGAAAUUGUUAAAAGGGAAAC
rnacentral:rRNA from 1 species